GGGUGUAGCGCAGCCUGGUAGCGCACCUGAAUGGGGUUCAGGUGGUCGCCGGUUCAAAUCCGGCCACCC
rnacentral:tRNA from 1 species